rnacentral:rRNA from 1 species
AUUGAACGCUGGCGGCAGGCCUAACACAUGCAAGUCGAACGGAGCGGCGGGCGGGGGUGGAAUGCCUAUGAAUCUGACUGGUAGUGGGGGAGAACGACCGGAAACGGGCGCUGAUACUGCAUACUCUCAGAUGAGACUAGGUCGGGUUUGCGAGUUGGUGGGGUAAAGGCGUACCAAGGCGACGAUCCGUAACUGGUCUGAGAGGAUGAUCAGUCACACUGGAACGGAGACACGGUCCACGCGCCGACGGGAGGCAGCAGUGGGGAAUAUUGUGCAAUGGGCGAAAGCCUGAUGCAGCCAUGCGGCGUGUGUGGAGAAGGUCUUCGGUUUGUAAAGCACUUUAAGUUAGGAGGCGUUACCUGCAGAAUAAGCACCGGCUAACUUCGUGCCAGCAGCCGCGGUAAUAC